CCAUGCAAACGGGACAACGUUUACACUCACAUCGAGAACGGCAAGGAGUCCUACUUUCAGCUCCGCCCUCGCUGCAGGGGGAUUUCGGUUGCCCCCUCCCCCCGGCCCGGCCUCUGGCCUUGGACGGCCUGCAACGAGUUUGACUGUGAGCCCACUGUGAGCUGGGAUUGUGGCCUACCAUGACAAAUGCAUCUGAAAAUCAACCAACGUUUGGAAGUGGAAAAGAAGUUGUUUGAUUUUAAGACCUAUUUCUGGAAGUAUUUCUCCCAAGUUUUGUCUAGAAUAAGUAAUACCUACUGUGUGGAAAGUACUAUUAAACUCUGAAGAAAAGAAAUGGGCGAGAAUUAGAA